rnacentral:misc_RNA from 1 species
AAUAUUUUUUUAGAAAACAUUUUUCUAGCUGCAAGUUAUUUUCUGCCAAAUAAAUGAAAGCUUAGUCUAGGAAUACGUUGGCAGUAACUAGGACUUAUUUUUUUCUCUUUUCAAGAGAAAACGCAAUGAAAGGAACCCAAGGGCAAAAGUCUGCCAAAACCAUCCUCUUGCAUUAACAGGAUCCACCCGUUUUGCUAGACGCCAUGCAUAUAUGGCCUCACAAAUAUGCGCUGUUGUAGCUAGAAGAAAUACUGUCCUUGUCAUCCACAUCGAACGGAAGACGAAAAGACUGAUAGCUCUGAAGAGCGGCACUGGUCCUGUAUCUGGUAAGUAAGCUGCACAGAAUAAUGUACCCAUCCCAAUCACACAAAACAGCCAUGCAUAUAUGGUAGGUCCAUCCAACAUUUUCCUUUUCCUGUCCUGCCAGUAGGAGAUGGUUGCAGCCAUGCCUUCCCGAGGAGUCACCAUUGGAACAUAGCCAAGCUCCUGCUUAGCUUUAAGGAAAGAGAAAUAAUGGGUCACACCAACCUUGUAUACUUCAGCUGGAAGGAUAAAUGGCUGAGGAAGCCACCAUCUAUUCAACCAGGGAUACAAGAGUGUAUAGAUAGCCUGGAAAAUCUUUCCUAGAAUGAGAGCAUGGGGUACAGUUAAAGAAGCUGUUGGCAGAUCAUAAUCUAGACUUCUGAGAAGGGGUCGGAGGAAUUCAAAACUGUUGAUUGGAGAUCCAUCAGAUAUAAAGUAUGGCUGUCCAGCAGCUACAGGAUGUUCUCCAGUCAUGGGAAUGUCAUCCAAGAGUCCCAUGCUUGCCAAUAUCAGUGCAAGCACAAGGUUAUCUACAUAAACCCAGUCAGUCUUCACAUUUGCAUCACCGAUUAUGAAAGGCAGCAGACCCAACUUUGCAAAGGACAUGAUCCUUGGAAAGUGUCUUUCUUCACCUGGCCCAUAUAUAGCAGCUGGACGAAUUGCACAUGUAUAAAAACGUUUUCCGUUAUUCUUCCUAUACAGAAUACAGACAAUCAGUCAUUCACUAUUGUUGGAUCCUCUCAAGGAAAGUAUCUAAAUAAACCAAGUCUUAUCAUUUUGAUUAUAGGACUCUACCCACUGAUAUGAACCAUUUAGCGGGUUGCAAAAAAAGGCAUAAAAAUGAAAUCAAUCAGGGACUAUCGAACCUGGGAUUCUUACAAAUAACUUACUUCAGAGGACGGCCGUUGUACUUCAGAACCAACUGUUCAGCAAUUGAUUUGCUACGCCCAUAUGGAUCAACAUGGUCAUCAAUUGGGAAGUAAGGCAAGGCUUCAUUGCCAUUCACAAUCUCCUUUCCCCCAAAGACGACAUUAUAUGUGCUCACAUAAACAAGCCUUUUGAUCCCAAACUCAAUGCAUGCUUCCAGAAUAUGGUAGGUUCCAUUUAUAUUCACGUCAUCAAUGCGGCCAAACUGCAGCAUUUCUUUCCCUGACAUGCCAAAUGAAGCAAGAUGGAAGACACAAUCCACACCACGUAAAGCUUUUUCAACAUCUCCUUUGUAGGUGAGAUCCCCUGUGUCAUUAGUGACCAUUGCUUAGAGAAAUGCAAUACACUAGAACCAAUCAAUUUUAUGGAUCCAAAUUAAAAACUUUGAAGACUAGAAAAACGAAAGAGAAACAAAAGUUGAAAGCAUAAAGCUACAUAUAGCAAUCAAACAUUCACUCAACAAAUACUUUACAUUUUACAACGAAUUUGACAAUUGUGGAAAAUGUCUUUAGCUAUCGUUGGAUGAAAAGACAAUAACCAAUGUUGAAACCAUGAAGUCCUAUAAUUCGUUGAUAAGCAACAGCUAAACAACUGCAGCUUUCUUCCCAAUUAGACUCGUUGCUAAUUACUUACUUCCCAGUAUAGAUGUUUACAAUGAGAAACAAAUUUAUAAAAAAAUAUGAAAGAUAAAGGUCUUCUUGCGCACCCAACAAAUCAAACUGGGUUCAAAGCAGCUGAUCUUUGAACUAAAAGUAAAAAUGCCAUGUUUUCCAAAUUUAAUAUACUGUAUUCUUUUUCAAUUUUUCAUUUUUCAAGAUAUCAAUUCGUCCCUGAUCCACAUGAUCUCAGAUGCAAAACCAGCAUAAAUUGAAGAUGCAGAAAAGAGAAACAAAAGUUUUAGUCUUUGCGAUUUGCCUACUAAAAUAUACAUUAAAAACCAAUCAAUUUUACGGAUCCAGAAUAAUAAAAAAUUCCUAUUAAAUUUAAUAGUCAAGUAGAAGAAAAUCAAUUUUGAGAAGGGUAAGCGAUUAGAUACAAAGCAGAUGCAGAACAUACACCGAUUUAGCACAUGUAACAUAAAUUAAACAAAGAAAAGAAAAGAAAGAUGAGACCUUGAAUGCACUGAACUCCAUGAGUAGUGAGUUUGUGAGACCAAGAA